AGCAAAUAAAGGAAGCUAUCCAGCAUCUCACACGUACCCCUCAGCCCCGGCAUGCUAAAGUUACAAGGCUUCAGAAUUAUGGUACAAAGCCCACAGAAUCAGAUGAGAGGAGCUUCGAAUGCACACAGCCCCCAAGGCGUACUCACGGGAAUCGAGGAGGACCAGGGGAGGAGCACAGCCUCUGGGGAGGUCGCUCGGUGGUGCCCUUGGGAGCACGAAGGUUGGAGUAAUUGGGGAUGACUUGCUGGGCUGGGCGGAUAACUCUCAUGCAGGGUCCGGGAACAGGAGGGAGCGGUUGUGAUGGAUGUGCAAAAUGCUGGUAAGGAGCUCUGCCAUCUGGGAAGGUGAGAAAAUAAAGGCAGCAACUAUCAUUUCAGCCAACACAGUUUUGCUUCACUUUGUGUUCAGUCCUUUCCAGGCACAUCCUCCUUCAUUUCUAAGGAAACGGAGCAGGUUGGAGGAAUCCGUAGGAAUCUUAAGACUGAAAGAAGGAAGCCUUAAGGGGGAGACUUUCCUGUCCCUUUCUAUGACUUCUAACAGGACUGGGUGAAAGAGGCUGGAAGAACAAAAAAUGAAAAACUACUUUGGGCUCCAGACAUCAAAAUCCUCCCUUCCCUUUGGGGAUACUGUCAGUAAGUUUGGGCCAGCCAAACAAUCCCUGAUGACAGAUGCCUCUACUCCACCUUCGCUUAGAAUGACAGCGGCAAUGACGGGUGAGUGAUGUGCUCUUGCUGUACUCACCCACUGGAACGAGAAGUACAAGCCUUACUGCAGGCUUACACACAGCAUCCCAUUUAUGUUGAAACAAAACACUGCUGGACCUAAAAAACCUUCGGAAAACGCCAAGCAUAGUUUCAUUUCUCUUCAGUGUUCUCUGUCCUACCCAGCCUGCCGGGCUGCUCAGAAAGGGCUUUGUGACACUCUUGAAGUCCACAGGUGAACCAGCAGAAGCUCAAGGUACAACAUUCAUUCACUAUCGGUUUCUCUAUCUGUAUGCCACAGUGUAUCACAGAGGGAAGAAGCUCAAGCAGAUGGUCACUGAACUCAAGCAGGAAGUGCAAAACACCCCUGGUCCUUCACCCCGAGCUGGAAGCAAUCAAGGCCAAAGCACAGCAGAGCAAUGUGCUGAUGUAGCCAUUCUGCUUCCCAUACCCAACCCCUUGAUUCCCAGACUUUGGCACAGAAAUAGAUCAGCACAUUUGAUGUCAACACGCUGAUCUCCGUAGCCAUCUUCAUCCUCUGGUAUCAGGGUGGAGAUCAACUUGCUCCCAUCAGAUGCUAUCUCCUGACAUGGGGUACAGAGAAACAAGUCUGGGACUCAUUACCCCAGCUGUUUUCCUUCUACCGCAUGGAAAAAGCCAAAAUCCCAAGUAGGAGCAUUACUGAAGAAUGGUGUCUAAGUACCCAAGCAAUGAAAAUGACAGCGUUUGACAAGAGAAUCUGACUUGAAAGCCUGGUAAGGAAAGUCAACACCACAGCACGUUUGAGGAGAUCUCAGUGAUUCAAGAUUCAGCUUCAGUCACACAGCAGCUUGAACAGAAAGUUCAAAUGAAGAACAUAUUCAGACAGCCACAGCAUUAAAAGCAGUUGAACAGGAUCACGGAGAGGUAUAAGGCAGCAUCCCAGCCUUUACCCUGGCUCCCACAGCCAUAUCCUACAAAAGCAAAGAAUGUGCCCAGUCCCAUAGGGUGAGAGCAAGGCUUUAUGUUUGAGCUGAUCAGAUCAAGUGACGUACAUUCCCCCCUGAAAGUACCUCUGGCAUAGGAAACUCUCAGUGUAACAUUUACUGGGAAGUAGGAUAAAAAUUGUGCUUUGCAGCUGCUGGGCUGCAAUAUAAAUAUUCUUCCUCUGUGUAACAUAAAACCCACCUAUGCAGAAGACCUACCACAGAUCUUCAUCCUACAUUAUAAGAACAACAUCCACAGGGAGAAUUUUCCUGGGAUAAUUAUAGCAGCAAAAUGAUGCUGGCAAAUUUUCCCAUGUAGACAAGUCCUCUGAGCAGCCAUUAGCUACACCAGCACAACAAACGUGCUGCUGCUCUGACAGAAGGCAGGGUCCUGUGCUCAGCUGGCACAAAUCAUACUGCACACUCUUACUCCCCCGUUGAGCAGCUCCAAUGAGCUGGUUCCUCUUCAGAAAGAGCAAGCUCAGCUGCAGGCACCUGGGCAUGGCUGCUCCCCUUGAGCAACAUGUGUUGUCUGAGCACCUUACCAGCAGGUAGAAUUCUUCACAAACACCCAAACACAGUAUUUCAGGAACAAAUCUGCAAGGCCUGAUACACAAUGGCAUUUCUUCAAUGGUCUCUGAAAGAGUCAGAUCAAAAUGAUAGAAACCACAUUGAAUCCGGAUCCUCUAUAUCCAACAGCCAUUGGUUUAGCUCCAUGACAAGAACAGAUUUUCUACAGAGAAACCAAGAACUCAGUCCAAAGCUCAGGGAAGUAAACAGAGGUCUCUCUGUUGACUUCAGCAGGCGUCAGAUGGGAUUUAAGAGUUACCGAAUUCCUCUGGAGGAUACAACCUUCCAAGUGUUUUGUCUUUUUGUAGUUCCACCAUUAACGAUGGGUAUCUGCAAAAUGGAUCACACGCAGACUCUGUGAACCUAAUGCAAGGCACAACAUGGGCAGGAAAAAUACAAAACUAUUUUCAAGUUUUCA